UUCUAUAUAGAACACAACACAACACAUAAAACUACAUACACUCGUUCACAUGACAAUCAGUUUAACCAUCGAAUCUUGCAUACCUAGGAACUUCAAACUUCACCCAGAUAACCAUACAGUCACACUUUCCACAAAGUCAUAAAUAUUGCGAUCUACAAAUAAAAUGCUUUGCGAGUAUAAAAGCUAGCUACUCUUGGAUACACCUCGUGCGCGAAGAAGGCCUUGUCGUCCACUCCCAAGCAGCAAGAUGUUAGUGGAGCAUCCCUCACCGAACCUACAGGAAGUUUCACAUAUAGUUAGAAAAACUGGAAACAUACAACAUGGACUACACAACAUAGCAUUGACGAAAAACUAAGAGCAUGUAACUAAACCUCCUACAGUUCAAAUUGUGUUAAGCAUGUGACACAAAGCAUUUUUUUAUAUUUCAGCAUGAUGGACCAUAAAACAUAACUUGUUAAUUGCAUGUUUACUAACUAUAGAUCAUGUUGUCGCCAACCAAAAGCAUUAGGCAAUGAAGCACAAUGUAUUUCCAAUGCAAUCCGUUAGCCAACCACCAAUAUGAUAGUCCAUAUGGGUAUUACAUCAUGGAAAAACCAACAAAUAAGUGCAGAUGACAAGAAACAAGAGCACAGAGGUCGUACAACACAUGGCACAUGCUCCAUGACACCAACCAAGCAAAGAAUGCACAAACAAGAUGCACACCUUCUUUGGUGUCUCAUCAUAUGCCAUGAUAUGUGUGUUGGGAUGUACUUAACUAGACUUCCUUCCUGUCAUGCUAGGUCAUGAUCUGUAUAAAAAGAAGAUGGAGGGGAGGAACAUCAAGUAGAGCAUGUAUGGAGCAUCAUAAUGAUAGUACCGAGAUCAAUCAAGUAAUCCUAACGAGGCACGAAUCUCACAAUGUUGCCAACAAGGCAAGAACCUCAUUGAUCUUGUCCUUGAAGUUCUCUAACUCCAUGUUGUUCCACUGCAGCUCGGUAUUUGCUCAAUCGUGUGUGUACAUGCAUCAGGGCAUACAUAAAAUGUUGAAGUUAAUAUUCUCAGCUAACUAUGAUGUAAUCAAAAUAGUUACUUAAGUACUUGGGGUAAAAUUUGAUUUUAGACAUCAAAAUUUGCAUCUCUCAUUUCAACCAUGUUCUUAUAAACUUGAGGUAAAUUAGCAGUAAGAAUAUUAGUUACAAGCUAGGUGAAACAUAAACAAAGUCCUAUUGUAUUUAUGGAUCCCAACUUGUUUGAACAAGAGUAGAUUGUUCAACUUGUACAAUCUAGCAGUCUAAAAAUAGAGAACUAUGUUCAUUAUCAAUUACGCAUUAAUUACAAUAGAAAUGAAAGACACUAAUAUAAGGAAGUACUUAGAACAAAGUAUACAUUAAAUAUAUUGUAGAAUCUCUAGCAUUGUUGUUCUUUGCAUAUUAAAACCAAUGGCUGCCAACUAUGGAUCAUCACUAAUAAAUUUGCAUAUCAUGCUACCACUUAAUUUCAGCUACCAAAAGCUAUAAUUAGGUACUAACUCGCACUAGCUAGCAGCAAACCUAAGCUUUCUUGUGCUCAACACCCUGAUAUGUACUCCACCAGACAUUAAAUGUUGCCCACACUUGAUCACCUACAGGGAAGAGUUCCAGCAGCAAUGCAAUGCAAUGCAAUGGGGAUCCA
rnacentral:lncRNA from 1 species